AUUGAACGCUGGCGGCAGGCUUAACACAUGCAAGUCGAGCGGGGUGAUGGUGCUUGCAGUAUCACUUAGCGGCGGACGGGGGAGUAAUGCUUAGGAAUCUGCGUAUUAGUGGGGGACAACAUCCCGACAGGGAAGCUAAUACCGUAUACGUCCUAAGGGACACAGCAGGGGAUGCCUUGUGACCUUUCGCUAAUUGAUGAGCCUAAGUCGGAUUAGCUGGUUGGUGGGGGAAAGGCCUACAAAGGCGACGAUCUGUAGCGGGUCUGAGAGGAUGAGACGACAAGCUGGUACUGAGGCACGGCCCAGAAUCCUACGGGAGGCAGCAGUGGGGAAUAUUGGACAAUGGGGGGAACCCUGAUCCAGCCAUGCCGCGUGUGUGAAGAAGGCCUUAUGGUUGUAAAGCACUUUAAGCGAGGAGGAGGCUCUUUUGGUUAAUACCCAAGAUGAGUGGACGUUACUCGCAGAAUAAGCACCGGCUAACUCUGUGCCAGCAGCCGCUGUAAGAC
rnacentral:rRNA from 1 species